rnacentral:tRNA from 1 species
GGGGAUGUAGUUCAGUAGUAGAGCACUUGCUUAGCAUGCAUGAGGCCCUGAGUUUUACCCCCAGUCUCCUCU